AGGAACAACAAUGCAACACACCUGUUGUGCAUGGUACAUCUUCUUUGGGAGGUAUAUUUUCAUUACAUUUGUUGUUUACUUGAACUGAACAAUUUUCAUGGUAUGAUAUAAUAAAUUAUGUGCACAUAUCAUUUGAACAAUGUUGAUAGGAUCUGGAGGACAGAGCUCGUCUCGGCCAACCAUGGACACUUUUCAAAGCGAUGAUGAUGACGACGAAGAGGAGGUGGCCGAGGAGCGUGACUAUGACGAGCUUGGGUUAUCUCAGCUUCCUGAUGCUCCUUCUACUCAGCCUACGCAGGUUGCAAGAAGGCGACGUCGUUCGCCUUCUAGGUACACUCCAGGCACCGAUGCUCUUGGCCACAAGGGUAAGGGUAAGACUAGGAGGCAGUGAUGAGGACUUCUGUGCUAACACCAUGGUAGCAGCUUAGAAUUGAUGGCUUAACUUUUGUUAAUUUGCAUGUAUCGACACUGUGAACUUUGUGGACUAUUUGUACUAUAUGAGACUGUAUGGUCUUUGUGGACUAUUUGAACUAUCAUUUCUGAUGGCGUAUGUGAUUGUGUUGUGAUAUUUGGAUGAA
rnacentral:lncRNA from 1 species